CCAGAGACAAACUCUGCUGUAGGAUCUGCUUCCAAACUCACCCUGCUGUGAGCUCUGAUUCCUGACAGUACUCUCCAUCCCCCGAGGGCACCUCUUUGGGGCCUGGUUUCUUGGGGUCCUCACCAGGUUGUAAGCUCUGCGGAGAUUCAAGUUUGUGAAGACUUUGGCAGAGCAGAGUCUUUUGAACAGCUCAUUUAAUAAAUGAAAGCAGUGGGCCUUAAUUCCUAGAGCUGAUUUUCAAGAUCGUUGGCCUCCAAAGUGGAAAGACAGUGUGAAAAGUUAGUAGAGAUGAGGAGGGAAAACCCGGCCCUGUUGAAGUGAAUGGGAGUUCUGCCAUUGACUUCAGUGGGGGGCCAGGGUUUCAUCCCUGUAGGUAUGGCAACCUCUGUUUACAGCAGCCUUGAAGAUCUUCCAUUUCUCCCCCACAGAAGUGCAUUUGUUAGCUUAUCAUGGGAGGGAUAUACUAAUUCCCACUCAGAUUGGAUUGAAAUUCCAACAGGAUAGCGGUACAAGGCUGACAGUAGAAGGUCAUUAACUCUUGAGUGCUCUGCCAUUACAAUGGAAUAGCUCUAAAUACUAGACUGGCUUCCUAACCAGAGAGGUCACCUGGCAAUAAAAUCACCUGGUAGAUGUCUCUGAUCACCUGAGGAGAUGAAUCCAGAAGACACCUGACAGAGGGCCUGGAAGCUAUAAAAAGACAGAUGCUGCUCUAUUGGGUGUCAUCUCCAGCCAUUGUUCCCCAGCUCAGAUGAACAACUGCAUGAAGAAGCAUGAAAAGAGAAGAGGAAUCCUGACACCUGAACACACAUGG